rnacentral:rRNA from 1 species
GACGAACGCUGGCGGCGUGCCUAAUACAUGCAAGUCGAGCGAAUCUGAGGGAGCUUGCUCCCUAAGAUUAGCGGAGGACGGGUGAGUAACACGUGGGCAACCUGCCUAUAAGACUGGGAUAACUUCGGGAAACCGGAGCUAAUACCGGAUAAUUCUUUUCCUCUCAUGAGGAAAAGCUGAAAGACGGUUUACGCUGUCACUUAUAGAUGGGCCCGCGGCGCAUUAGUCUAGUUGGUGAGGUAACGGCUCACCAAGGCAACGAUGCGUAGCCGACCUGAGAGGGUGAUCGGCCACACUGGGACUGAGACACGGCCCAGACUCCUACGGGAGGCAGCAGUAGGGAAUCUUCCGCAAUGGACGAAAGUCUGACGGAGCAACGCCGCGUGAGUGAUGAAGGUUUUCGGAUCGUAAAACUCUGUUGUUAGGGAAGAACAAGUACGAGAGUAACUGCUCGUACCUUGACGGUACCUAACCAGAAAGCCACGGUCUAACUACGUGCCAGCAGCCGCGGUAAUACGUAGGUGGCAAGCGUUGUCCGGAAUUAUUGGGCGUAAAGCGCGCGCAGGCGGUCCUUUAAGUCUGAUGUGAAAGCCCACGGCUCAACC